rnacentral:rRNA from 1 species
GCAUCUAGAUUAGAGUUUGAUCCUGGCUCAGAUUGAACGCUAGCGGGAUGCUUUACACAUGCAAGUCGAACGGCAGCGCGAGAGAGCUUGCUCUCUUGGCGGCGAGUGGCGGACGGGUGAGUAAUAUAUCGGAACGUGCCCAGUAGCGGGGGAUAACUACUCGAAAGAGUGGCUAAUACCGCAUACGCCCUACGGGGGAAAGGGGGGGAUCGCAAGACCUCUCACUAUUGGAGCGGCCGAUAUCGGAUUAGCUAGUUGGUGGGGUAAAGGCUCACCAAGGCAACGAUCCGUAGCUGGUUUGAGAGGACGACCAGCCACACUGGGACUGAGACACGGCCCAGACUCCUACGGGAGGCAGCAGUGGGGAAUUUUGGACAAUGGGGGAAACCCUGAUCCAGCCAUCCCGCGUGUGUGAAGAAGGUCUUCGGAUUGUAAAGCACUUUAAGUUGGGAGGAAGGGCAGUAAGUUAAUACCUUGCUGUUUUGACGUUACCAACAGAAUAAGCACCGGCUAACUUCGUGCCAGCAGCCGCGGUAAUACGAAGGGUGCAAGCGUUAAUCGGAAUUACUGGGCGUAAAGCGCGCGUAGGUGGUUCAGCAAGUUGGAUGUGAAAUCCCCGGGCUCAACCUGGGAACUGCAUCC